rnacentral:lncRNA from 1 species
AUCAGGGAAAAGCUCAGAGUGUCCACGAGUAGCUGAGCAUGGCCAUUAGCAGAGGUCUGCAUCAGGGGAAGAACAGUCUGCUGGAGCUUACCAAACAGAUCUGCUGCUUCCUGCAGAGUGCACCUGAGCAGUUUACGCUGGAGAAGAUUCCCAUCACCGAGUCAAAAGUCAGCAUGGACGUCAACUUUUCCUGCUCGUCUCCUGCAAAGAGAGUCAACUCAGCUGCCGCAAAGAAGUGCGCCUGAGCAGUUUACGCUGGAGGAGAUUCCCAUCACCGAGUCAAAGGUCAGCAUGGACGUCAACUUUUCCGGCUCGUCUCCUGCAAAGAGAGUCAACUCAAAGAUUCCUCUCUGUUCAAAGCUCCAUGGACUCGAGUGAUGGU